rnacentral:tRNA from 1 species
UAGCUCAGUGGUACAGCGCCUGCCUGGCAAGCGCGAGGCCCUGGGUUUGAUUCCCAG